rnacentral:miRNA from 1 species
UUGUUUGAGAUCCCUGGGCAUG